rnacentral:rRNA from 1 species
AGCGAACGCUGGCGGCAGGCCUAACACAUGCAAGUCGAACGAAGCCUUCGGGCUUAGUGGCGGACGGGUGAGUAACACGUGGGAACGUACCUUUUGGUUCGGAACAACUCAGGGAAACUUGAGCUAAUACCGGAUGAGCCCUUAGGGGGAAAGAUUUAUCGCCGAAAGAGCGGCCCGCGUUAGAUUAGCUAGUUGGUGAGGUAAAGGCUCACCAAGGCUACGAUCUAUAGCUGGUCUGAGAGGAUGAUCAGCCACACUGGGACUGAGACACGGCCCAGACUCCUACGGGAGGCAGCAGUGGGGAAUCUUGCGCAAUGGGCGAAAGCCUGACGCAGCCAUGCCGCGUGAAUGAUGAAGGUCUUAGGAUUGUAAAAUUCUUUUACCAGGGACGAUAAUGACGGUACCUGGAGAAAAAGCCCCGGCUAACUUCGUGCCAGCAGCCGCGGAAAGAC